rnacentral:tmRNA from 1 species
GGGGCUGACUUUAGCUUUCGACGAAAGGAUUUUAAUAAGUUAUCUUGCAAGUCGAAAGUACUCGUUACGUACAAAAUUUUAAUUGCAACAAUUUCUGCAAAAGCUAAGAACUUUGUAGCUGAACUUGCAUCUAGCUUCGCUAGUGCAUUUAACGCUCCUGUUCUUGCAACAGCUCGGAUUUAAUCCCUGCCAUCUUUCUUUCCAGACGACAUAGAGAAAGUAAGGUGUUAUAAAGUAUGUCGUUUACUGAUUUAGUGGGCAGCAACGCUAAUGAAGGAACUUUAUUGCGCGACAAUUAUAACUUUUUUGUUUAACCUUUAGUUUUAGUGGUCGUUAAGUGUUAAGUUGAACUAAACUUGUAGGAGGAUAAUUUGUUACCUUUCGGACCGGGGUGCGAUUCCCCGCAGCUCCACCA